AAAGUCGUAACAAGGUUUCCGUAGGUGAACCUGCGGAAGGAUCAUUAACGAAUAUACCGGGUUUUUACUAGCCCAUCCUAUUCUUAUCACCCGUGCUCUUUACUCCGAGUCUUUGAAAAAGGACGCCUGGACGAGUAAAGUUUUCUAUAUUAAUACGUAUGUCUGAACUUAAUCGGGUAGUCCCCGACAAUUUAAUAAUUGAAACAAAACUAUGAACAACGGAUCUCUUGGCUCUU
rnacentral:misc_RNA from 1 species